rnacentral:rRNA from 1 species
CAGGCUUAACACAUGCAAGUCGAGGGGCAUCAGGAAGAAAGCUUGCUUUCUUUGCUGGCGACCGGCGCACGGGUGAGUAACACGUAUCCAACCUGCCCUUUACUCGGGGAUAGCCUUUCGAAAGAAAGAUUAAUACCCGAUAGCAUAAUGAUUCCGCAUGGUUUCAUUAUUAAAGGAUUCCGGUAAAGGAUGGGGAUGCGUUCCAUUAGGUUGUUGGUGAGGUAACGGCCCACCAAGCCUUCGAUGGAUAGGGGUUCUGAGAGGAAGGUCCCCCACAUUGGAACUGAGACACGGUCCAAACUCCUACGGGAGGCAGCAGUGAGGAAUAUUGGUCAAUGGGCGCUAGCCUGAACCAGCCAAGUAGCGUGAAGGAUGAAGGCUCUAUGGGUCGUAAACUUCUUUUAUAUAAGAAUAAAGUGCAGUAUGUAUACUGUUUUGUAUGUAUUAUAUGAAUAAGGAUCGGCUAACUCCGUGCCAGCAGCCGCGGUAAUACGGAGGAUCCGAGCGUUAUCCGGAUUUAUUGGGUUUAAAGGGAGCGUAGGUGGACUGGUAAGUCAGUUGUGAAAGUUUGCGGCUCAACCGUAAAAUUGCAGUUGAUACUGUCAGUCUUGAGUACAGUAGAGGUGGGCGGAAUUCGUGGUGUAGCGGUGAAAUGCUUAGAUAUCACGAAGAACUCCGAUUGCGAAGGCAGCUCACUGGACUGCAACUGACACUGAUGCUCGAAAGUGUGGGUAUCAAACAGGAUUAGAUACCCUGGUAGUCCACACAGUAAACGAUGAAUACUCGCUGUUUGCGAUAUACAGUAAGCGGCCAAGCGAAAGCAUUAAGUAUUCCACCUGGGGAGUACGCCGGCAACGGUGAAACUCAAAGGAAUUGACGGGGGCCCGCACAAGCGGAGGAACAUGUGGUUUAAUUCGAUGAUACGCGAGGAACCUUACCCGGGCUUAAAUUGCAGUGGAAUGAUGUGGAAACAUGUCAGUGAGCAAUCACCGCUGUGAAGGUGCUGCAUGGUUGUCGUCAGCUCGUGCCGUGAGGUGUCGGCUUAAGUGCCAUAACGAGCGCAACCCUUAUCUUUAGUUACUAACAGGUUAUGCUGAGGACUCUAGAGAGACUGCCGUCGUAAGAUGUGAGGAAGGUGGGGAUGACGUCAAAUCAGCACGGCCCUUACGUCCGGGGCUACACACGUGUUACAAUGGGGGGUACAGAAGGCAGCUAGCGGGUGACCGUAUGCUAAUCCCAAAAUCCUCUCUCAGUUCGGAUCGAAGUCUGCAACCCGACUUCGUGAAGCUGGAUUCGCUAGUAAUCGCGCAUCAGCCACGGCGCGGUGAAUACGUUCCCGGGCCUUGUACACACCGCCCGUCAAGCCAUGGGAGCCGGGGGUACCUGAAGUACGUAACCGCGAGGAGCGUCCUAGGGUAAAACUGGUGACUGGGGCUAAGU